GGGGAAAAUAUCAUUCCUGUCUUUUCCCUGAAGCUCUCCUUUUGACAGAAUGACUGGCUGAGGAGCCACAGGGAUGUGGAGAAACAAAGCGUCCCUCGGUCCUAUGGAUUCUGCUGCUUCUAUUCCAAGGAGAGUACAAACUGCGACCUUGGUUGAACACUGGUCUACAGUAGAUACAGUGCAGCCUCUGAAUGAAAUUCGGAGACUUCUAAGCCUUAGUUACUAAGUCUGCUUGCCUCAAGGACUGGAAGCUCCAGGAAGAAGAACAAACGCUCACAGGACUCACUGUUCCAUGUCCUCUGACUAACAGCUGGCAUGUUUGAUUAAAUGAAUAUCAAAAUUAGAUGAAACUGACAUAAAAAUGUCCCUCCCAUGUAAGAGUAAUGCAUAAGACAAUGAUAAGCUGAACACAAACAGGUCACACUUCUGAAAAAUCCUGGACUGGUUCACACACUGUAAGAUGAGACACAGAAAACCAAAAUGGAAGACACAGAGAAACCAGAGCAUUAAGUCUUUGAUAUUUUUGCUAAGCUUUCCUGUUGCCGUCCAUGGCUAGGAACUUGUCUGCAGUCUCACAGCUUCAAUUCAAUGUUCUAAAAACUGGUUAAUUUUUGUUCUCUCCUGGUUUCAGGUAUCUUUGCCUGCUAGUCAGACAAUUUCUUGAUGAA
rnacentral:lncRNA from 1 species